UACGUAGGGUGCAAGCGUUGUCCGGAAUUAUUGGGCGUAAAGAGCUCGUAGGCGGUUUGGCGCGUCGGCUGUGAAAACUCGGGGCUCAACCCCGAGCCUGCAGUCGAUACGGGCAGACUAGAGUGCGGUAGGGGAGACUGGAAUUCCUGGUGUAGCGGUGAAAUGCGCAGAUAUCAGGAGGAACACCGGUGGCGAAGGCGGGUCUCUGGGCCGUAACUGACGCUGAGGAGCGAAAGCGUGGGUAGCAAACAGG
rnacentral:rRNA from 1 species